rnacentral:tRNA from 1 species
UAGGCCCUAGUAAAAUAAUUACCUGGCACUGUCAGCGCCAAAUUACAGACUAAUCUCUGUGAGCCUUA